UGUUACUCUCAAAAAGCCUGUAUUUAGCCUGAUCCCGUCUGAUCUCGGAAGCUAAGCAGGGUUGAGCCUGGUUAGUACUUGGAUGGGAGACCACCUAGGAAGACCAGGCGCUGUAGGCG
rnacentral:rRNA from 1 species